GGCCCGGCCUCCGGCCCUGGAAGGCGGCAGAAAGGAGACAAAACCUCUGUCUUUCUAGGCCGAAGGCCUGAGUUCCAGCAUCCUGGGUCCCCACGCGUCGGGGUCUGGGGCCAAGACCGCCCACAGUCGGCGCCCAAGCCCAAGACGCCCAUCCCGGACCUGGCCUUCCCGCCAGGGCCCGCGCGCAGCUGGGAGCUGUUUAUUUAUGGCUGCAAAUGUGUGUGUUCAAGAGAGAGAGGGAAUUGAUCUUUGCCUGGACUUAAAGAUGGAGCCGAAGAAGCUGGAGGGAAUUUGGGCUUGUGCGUCUGGCCCAGACCCUGUGCGCCGAGCCCGAGGUCUAUCCUCCCCGCACCUCUCACCUCGCGACCUUGCAGGAAUCCGCGGGCCCGGAUGCUGCCCAGCUGACCCUCCUGCCCCGGGCCUGGCUGCAGAGAAAGUCUUCGGGCAGGAGGCCAUCCUGUUCCUGUCUUUAAAAUGAGCACAAUAAAAGGGGGCAAAUCCUCGAACGCGAACCUGAUCUCAUGUCACAGAAGCAACUUGCCAUGAAAUCCGCUAAUGCGCUGCGACUCGCCCACCAGGGCAGCGUGCGGCGGCCGAACUGCACCUGCGUUUGUGAGCCUUGUAGAAAUGGAGCCCACCGGAUUCCCUCACCCGGAGAAAUGCCCAAACUGAAACUUGACUACACUUCCCUGGGCUGGUUCACGGUUUCAUAAUCUCCCAGGUUUGCUGGCUGUGUCACCAAAUCCAAGCCAAACCUGCUAUAAACAUGAUCACAGGCCACUGACCUCGCAGCACUGACCGAUAACUCGGUGGCAAAAUCAGCUCCUCUGGUCAGAGGUUAUUAAAGCAGCGGCUGAAUUCGUGUUUGUUU
rnacentral:lncRNA from 1 species